AAACGAUAUGCAAAAUAUAAUUGUAUCUGCUUCCAUAGCCCCUGUCGUUGAUUCGUGACCUUUUUGCCCGAUUUCAUCUAGUCAGAAUCCAGAUAUUUCUCCUUUGUUUUCGCCAUACUAUUGUCUUCUGUUCUUUUGAAUUAUGUGACUAAAAAGUUGAUGCUUUCCGUUAGCAUACAUCAUCCGUCCAAGCGUGCUACGUUAGUACGUGGAGAGUGAUACAAAAACCUAAGACCUGAAAAGCGGGUUAAAAUAAUAGUGAUAAGUAAAAGUACUUGCAACAAAGUGUUGCUUUUUAUCACCUCAUCGGUGACAAGUUUGAAUUUUUUUUAUGAAUGUUGUCUGCCAUGAUACAUCGAAAUGUUGUCUUCCUAUUGCGUUAAGGGGUUAGGGGUAGUCAGAAUUUUCAAAAAAUUUAUUUUUUUUUGCAUUUUCUUAAAGUAUAAUAUUUUAAAAAUAUUUUGUGAAAAUUUAAAGUGAAUCCGACAAAUUCUUUUCGAGUUAUUCAACAAUUAACAAAGGGCGCUUGGGCGCUACGGAGCGUUCGAGAGCAGUGAUUUACCAUGGGACGUGAUUAAAGAAAGGUUUCAAGACAACUUCGAACUUCUGAAAAUAUAUAUGGCCCAGGAAUAGAUGACUCAGUAUGAAUCUCCAAGGACUUGUGAUGAUCACCGCAAGGGACUUCUGGAGGAACGGGCUCCACACAAACAGCGAUAACUUUUCAAAUUAUUAAUUUUUUUUUUUAAAUUUUGGUGAAGUCAAGUCGAAACAUGAUGUAUUAAAGCUAUGUUUUUAUUUUUGUAAAAUAAA